CAGCCGCCACGGUAAUACGAAGGGGGCUAGCGUUGUUCGGAAUCACUGGGCGUAAAGGGCGCGUAGGCGGCCUGUUAAGUCGGAUGUGAAAGCCCGGGGCUCAACCCCGGAACUGCAUCCGAGACUGGCAGGCUUGAGACCGGGAGAGGAGGGUGGAAUAUCCAGUGUAGAGGUGAAAUUCGUAGAUAUUGGAUGGAACACCGGUGGCGAAAGCGGCUCUCUGGCCCGGAUCUGACGCUGAGGCGCGAAAGCGUGGGGAGCAAACAGGAUUAGAUACCCCCGUAGUCCCUGUCUCUUAUAC
rnacentral:rRNA from 1 species